GGGAAAUAAUCAGUAACACAUUGGGCAGUACAAACAGAAAGACUCUAUAAGAUUUCUCUCUCCAAAAAUUUGACUUAUUUAUCUGUAUUCAAAACGUCAAAUGUUUGGGCUCAUUGAUUAGAGCAGAAAAUAUUGAUGCUGCUUGUUUUCUUUACAAAGCACUGACCUGUUGCUUUUUAAAGUCUGGUCAUGGUGAUGUGGUGGUGGUUUGUUUUCUCAUCCCAAUUCGAACGUCCAAAAGAAAAUCCCAAUCUAGCUGACACCUAAACAAUAGAAUGUUAUAUUAGUUUGUCGUCCAAAAUGGAACGCACACAAGGCAGCCUGGCUGGCCCCAGUUUCACAGUCGACUGCCGACUUCACUUCAGAUUAUGUAAACAUGUAUUGCAAAACAGCUCUGACGGGAACCUCAUAACCCAAACACUGUUCUCUGAAAUGUAAUUUGUUGUCUUUUUAUAUAAAAGAAGAAAUUAAAUCAAAAUUAUUUUGAAGAAAAACGACUCUGGGAUUUUGUUUAAUUGAACUUUGCCAGGAAAUGCCAUUGCCUAGUAGCACUGACCCCAGGGUAGAAGGAGACAAUCUUUUGCAGGGUCAGACUUCUCAAGUGACUCUGCAUGUGUCACAUGAGGUCACUCAAGUGACCGAUGCAUGUCUCACAUGCCCUCCCUCAUGUUCUAGAUCCUAAAAAAAAAAAAGGUAUAUGCUUUGUAUGUUAACCAAAACCUAAAAUGAUCAUCCCUUUUGGACAAUAAUACUGUGUGACUUCUCCCUCUAAGAGCAUUUCAGAAUGAAUGUGGCACUUCAGAUAAGUGUAGCCCAGUUUCUGGCAAAGAGCUUAGUAUCAUAAUCUUACAGAGCCAUUUAAGGCAAUAGAGAGCUCUAAUCUUCUGCCUGCCUUAAGUAAAAUUCCUUUUUUUCCCCAAUGCCAUUUUUUAAAAUAUAUUUCUCAACUCUUCUGCAAAGAUAAAAUAAGGCUGUGUCUUUUUAAAAGAUUAAAAAUUCCUCCAUUCUCCUUAUUCAUCUCAGGCCAUAAAGUACAGGGCUGGGAUAGGGAUUAGAAAGAGCACACUCUGCAGAUUUUUCCUCCUUUGGGUCUCUCUUGAUAUCUCAAGUAAUCCAACUGUGUUUGGUUUUAACAGACACUUAAUAUACACUUGUUUAAUCAAUUAAUGAGGCAGGAUUCCACUUUAAUGGAAAACAAUAAUUGCUACUUUUUAAGAGUUUUUCGUUUCUACUUGGAGUUCAGUACCCCCCAAAAAAAAAAAAAAUUGGGCCAUUCAGAUUCAGAAUUAGUCUCUCGGCCAAUUCGGCCAAUAUUUAAGUACUAACCGGAUGCCAGACUCUGUGCUAAGCACAGAGCAUCCAGUGGUGAACAAGGUGGAUGUGGCCCUGACAGCAUCCUUGCCCACCCUCUGAACUCGGGCAGCUGGUCAUUUUCCAAGAUAAAACAACUUUAAUUAUAAUCACACAAAGUUAUGUAGACAUGUGGACAAAAACUGGAAGGGGCCACAGAAGAAUAAAUGUGGGUUACCUGUUGAAGUGAUGAGACUCUAGGUGAAUCAUUUAUGUUGUUACUUUAUUAUCUGCGUGACAAGCUUUCUAAAAGGAUGUCUGUAUUAAAAGAAGGCUUGUAGAAAUUUAUCUAGACUCAAGCCAUGAAGUAAAGGACCAACUUACAAAGAACCUUUGGGAUGGGGGAUAGAGGUCAUUGGUUACAGGGCAGGUCCAAGUUUAGUGGGGCCUGAAGUUAUAUAAUUUGUUCUUCCCUCUUAAGGAAAAACAUACAAAAUUAGGAAGAACCCCAUACAAGUGAGGAUCCCUUGCUUUAACGAUUUUUAGCUUUAAGGUAAAUCAUCCACACAGCUCUGGGGACGGGACUUAGAAGACUGAAGGAGGUGUAAUGAAGAAAAGUUUCAGCACUCGAAUAUGUCAAGCUUUGAGUGCCUCUGCUACCUUUAAGAACUGCAACUUUUACUAGAUCUGAGCCUUUACUUCUCAAAGAGUCUAAUUGGAUUUAGCAAAAUAGCAUGGGAUACAAAUUCAGUAAUGGUUAAUAUGGGAUCACAAUAGGACAUUUUUCUUUUUUAGAGAGGUUUUACUUGGGAAUGGGUUUUGCAGCAGGGGGGUUUCCUUUUAACUUUACAGAAAUAAUAGAGUUCAAAGAUACUGUUUGUCAAAUACCUAUUCAAUGAACCUUAGAGAUGAGGAACAUUUUAAGGGCUCUUGAUGCAGAAAACAAGCCACCAAGAGCAACAUUAGAAUAAGGUAACAUUUAUUUAUUCAUACUUCACUGUCCCAGAAGGGACCUAUUUUCACUACAGUAAAAUAAAAUCAACUGCAUAAUUGUCUCCUUUUUUAGAGACUAAAUUAGAACUUUAUGACACUCCUUAAGGAGAGGAAACUAUUCAAAUAAUUAUACCUUUUAUAAUUUUAUAGUUCUUUGUAGCUUAUAUUAUAGUUCUUUAUUGUAGGUAGAUAAAGCAUAAUUCAAUGCGGUAAACGUAUUGAUGAUUGUCCUAGAAUUGGAAAUGCAAAUAUAGAGUUAUCCUUCCCAGUGCUGCUAGAAUUCUCUUAAUGUAACAUGAACCUGAUUAUAUCCCUCCUGUAAAAUCCUUCAGUGCCCCAAUAGAAAAAUGGGCAAGGGCCUUUGUAACAGCUCUCAGAGGAGCAACUGCAAGUUAACAUGAAGAUUUAAAAAGUUCAGAGUCGAAAUACUGAUCUGUGCUAACGAAUAAACCUCAAAAACAUGAAAGUGAAGGAAGCUACAUGCAAAAGACUAACAGUUCCAUUUAUAUGAAAUGUCUAGAAAGGGCAAAUUUACAGGAACAGAAAGCGAAAUAGUAGUUGCCUGUGUCUGGGGGUGGGAGCAGGGACUCACUGUAUAUGGCCAUGUGGAGGAGAUUUUCUAGGGUGAUAGAAAUGUUCUAAAAGUGGAUUGUGGUAGUAGUUGCACAACUAUAUAAUUACUAAAAUCAUUGAAUUGUACACUACAUUGAAUUUUAUGAAGUGUAAAUUAUCCCUUGAAGCAGUUUUUUAAAAAGUUCAACCUCAGUAGAAAAGUAAUUUAAAAUGCUUUCUACUUGUCGAAUACUAAAAGAAUAGUAACUAUUAUUAUUAUUAUACACUGACAAACGUAUGGGAAUGAACACUCAUACACAAGUGGUUGGUGUAAAAGUGGGUGUAAACUUUCUGAAGAUAAUUUGACAAUAUGCAUCAAAGCCUCAAAAUGCUCAUAUACUUUGACUCACUUCCAGAUGUAUGUCCUAAUUGGAAGGUGUAGAUAUAUAAACACAAAGAGAUAUUUAUCUCUUUACUAUUUGUAAUGGAAAAAUUAGAAACAACCUAAAUGUCCAACAAUAGGAGAUAAAUUACAGAAUACCCAUCAAUAGAAUACUGUUUAGCUAUUUAAAAUGACGAUGCAGGUGCCUAUAUGUAAUAAGUGUGAAAAAGAUGUUCAUAAAUAUAAGUAAAGAGAGUACAAUUAUGUAUAGAAUUUAAAAUAUUUGUGUAUAUAUAUGUAUAUGUUGGAAGUUUAUAUAACAAAUAUGAAUAUUGGGCAUCUCUGGGUAUUAGGACUAUUGGGUGUUUCUUUUCUCAUUUGUUUAUCUGUAUUUUCUAAAGUUUUUAAAUGUGUCAUGUUUUAUGAAAAAAAGCAAUAAAAUUUUUUUUUCU
rnacentral:lncRNA from 1 species